AAAGUGGUAACGUGGCUAAAAUGCCCCGCUGUUAAUAAUCUAGAUCCUGACAGCCAUUUCCUGCAACAGCCGGGCGUCUUUUUCUGGAUCCCGGAACUGCAGUAGCUCUGCUCUUCACUCCUCAUUCCAUCCCAGAAUGUCUCUUAUUAUUUGUGGGUCAGGACUGAAUGCCAAGCUGCAGGAUUUUUGCUUCUAGUUUCUCAGAAGAUAUGGUGACGACACCAACGUUUCUUGUGUUUAGGAUCAGGUUAAUUCAAAAUAAUGUAAAGAUUUGGAUACGCAGACUCGGAUUAAUGUGGGGCUUUUUUGUUUCUGAUUAACUUGAAAAUUAAUAUUCUGAAAAUAAAAAGAAGAUCUUUUAGAGCUAGCAUGCAGCAAUAGAGAGUUUGUCGAGCGGGAUAAACGUUGGGUUUUACUGCUCGUGCAUUCACAGACCCAAAAGGUUUUUAUGAUUUUUCUGCUGAUUCAAAUGAAAGUUUGUGGAUUCUGACCAGAACAUUUCUUGGCACAUCCUUCAUGUUUGGUUGUUCUUAUUCUUAACUUUGCCUUUAAUCUGAUUAUUAAAUCAGGAAUCUGUGUAUUUAAUUUCAUCUAAAUUAUCUGUGCAUUUUAUUUAUGCUGUCAUGUUGAUUUUAAUGCUUAUGCUGUAAAGCACAUUGAACUUCCUCCGUGUAUGAACUGUGCUAUGCAAAUAACGCUGCCAUGCCUCAUUGUUCUGUAAAUACAUUACUCAGGAGACAAAUUAUACAACAUGGAUACUAAAAAAUAAAUAAAUGCCACAGUGCUAUUUAUUGACAACUGCCACAUGCAGAAGAUGGGCCACGAGGUGUUCACUCUGCAUGGAUCAACAGGGACAAGAACCCUCUGACCUGGCCUUAAGGGACCUUCUGCCUACAUCUCUAUACAAGCUGUGUCUCAGGAUAAAUGAUUCAUUUUAAAGCUUUGGAACAAACAGGUCAGCUGUUGUUUGCUUGUGCUCUCUUAAACUUUACUAAUUCACAACAAAACAUGUUUUUUAACCAUUUGCAUCAUGUAUUAAACUUUAAGGUAAAUCUAUAUUUUUACUCCCACUUUAAUGCAACUUAUUAGAAAUGCCAAAGCUACCUUGCUCUGUUCACUCGAACAUUUCAUAUUUCUACUCAAUAUUUACACUUUUUCUGACCCACUUCCGCAUUAUACAAACUUUAUCUUUAUACACUAAAUAAAUAAAUAAAGACGCGAAUGUUUGGCACUUCCAAGUAAGCAAAUGGGGACUUUAAAAGGGGAACGGAUGUAAUAUUUCAUCUAUUUGAGUUUUCCAGAACUAAAGACUAAAAAGUUCAGAUAUGUAAUUCAACGUUAAACUCUAUGCAUGUGAAAAAGCUGCAAUAAGCUUUAAUAUCUUGAUGCUCGCCUUUGGAAACUCAUUCUAGACUUGGAUUUAUUCGGGUGCCAGUUUUCUUUGCAUGGCUGUCUUAUUUCAUUUAGUUCAAGACACGCUUUACAUCAUGAUGAAUUAUUUCAACAGGAAUGCAAAAGGGGAUGAAAAUGACUCUAAAAAUAGGCCGGCUGGUGAGAGUCUAUUUAAGGUUAUAUCUCCAUGUCCAUCAUCUCCCAUGGGUGGAGUCCAUCGACAUACAUAUAGGUGGAGCCUUGGACCGUACUCCUAAAUCUACACGCAAACAUAAAUGUCGGGCAAAAAAAACUACAUUAAUCUUGAGAAAAAUAUCUUUUUGUAUCGUUACGACACUUUAGAACAAUAGUGAAAGACAAAAACACGCAGAAGGUUUGUAGCUGGUUAAAGCUCAUUAAAACGUGUAAAUGUGAACUGUUUUAUUGUGGUAACAGGGACUGAGGAUGAAAACUGUUUAUGACUCUGUGCUUGUUCAAGAAGAUAUCAUUAAUUUUUGGCUUACUCAUUUUAUGGGGGAAAAUUUUCAUGCUAGCUUGUCUCAAGAGUAAAUAAGGACAAGUCUGUGCGAUGAUCUCUGACAUUUGAGGAUGGGUCAUUAAAGUGAAAGCAAACUGCGUAGCUGUCUGCUGACAUGAAGUACUCACCCGUCUACGACAGAACGGCAGCAACUGGCAUCUUCCUCUGCGCAGCCGACGAUGAGAAGCGGGGUAUGGGGCAAUGCCGCAGCAUUGCAAAACAGGCUGUCUAGAGGAUCAUAUCCCAGAAGGAGGUCCAAAUGCUGACCAAGGACAGUAGCGAGUAAGCUGCUCUUCUUAAAUGACCGUGGAACCUUUCCUGGAUCUCUACACCGUAGUGCAGGUGUAUCAAACCUGCCCUCACUAAGCUCUCACCUACUCAGCACCCACUCAGCCACUUGACUGACAUUCUUUAAAGCAACUCCGGGCUGUGAGGUCACCAUUUAAACCAAGUUAGGUGGAGCAGCUGAUGUCAGGGUCUGAAAAGAGGAUGGACCAACUCAGCCGCUCCCCCUCGGCCUGCCCUGUGGAAUCCACUCUCAUGACCCCUCACUGGUGGAAUGUGAACCAGGACUCGUCUGACGCAGCACACGUGUGGCUGGGGCGUUUCCUCAUCGUGGUCUUUCUGUGACCCCUCUAAUCUCUACAGAUCAGAGACCUGCAUCUUUGUGCUCAGGCAAGUUUACCCCACACAAACUCACAAGAAACCAAAUCAGUGCUUCCUGAUUAACAAGCGAGAUUUUGUUCUACUUUCUCGACUGAUCCUUUGGUGUCAAGGGAUGUCAAUAACGCUGUCCAUGUCAGCAGAGAGACUUGGGUUAGUUCAGGAGAAGAUCACAGUUGUCCACGUUUAGUAUGUGUGACACAAGGUCUUAAGUAAUGGAUUCUCUUGAACCAAGUGAAGACAAAAGUGAUUUUAGGUCUGUUGAAUUGUAUCAAAAUAGGCUCGAAAUGAUGUAGAAGCACCAUUUCCUUUAAAUAACAACACAAACGUGUAUCUGUAAAGAUGUGAUCAUAUGAAGGUGCUCAGUUGUACACAGUGGUGUAACUGCAGGGUGUUGAUACUAUUUAUGCUCAAUUCCUCUUUGUCCAAAAGUUGAGACUGCAGACUCGGAGAAGACUGAUCUUUCCUCUGAGCACCAUUGUUUGAGGAGGAUUAGAGUGCACCGAGGGCCCUAACACACCAGCCAUGUUAACCUCUGCGUGUCAGACCAACACCCACAUAUUUUAUUGGAUGUUCAGCACAGUUGGAGCAAGCUGGUGCCGUAUUGAUGACCGCUUAGCCAACUGAGCAUGUAUGACUACAGCGGAGGCGGUUGGUGCCAUCGAGAGAAUUCACUCACUUAGAAAAGUCUUGUCUGUCAUGCCUUUUGACGAGCUAAACCAUCUCCUGCUACUCAUUCUAAGGAAAAAUGUUUUCUGUUUGUGUUUUAUAGCGUUCUGCUCUGAGACACGAUGGACAAAUAAAGAAUCCUGUCUUUUACAUGAGCAGCCGUACAGACUAAGCUCAACAUGAGGGAAUGAGCUCCGACAAUAAAUUACCACACAGUCUGAAACUAAAAA